rnacentral:rRNA from 1 species
UACGUAGGGUGCGAGCGUUGUCCGGAAUUAUUGGGCGUAAAGAGCGUGUAGGCGGUCCGGUAAGUCCGCUGUGAAAGUCGGGGGCUCAACCCUCGAAUGCCGGUGGAUACUGUCGGGCUAGAGUGCGGAAGAGGCGAGUGGAAUUCCUGGUGUAGCGGUGAAAUGCGCAGAUAUCAGGAGGAACACCUAUUGCGAAGGCAGCUCGCUGGGACGUAACUGACGCUGAGACGCGAAAGCGUGGGGAGCAAACAGG